rnacentral:lncRNA from 1 species
ACAUAUUAGACCCCGUUCACACUAGGACAUUUUUAUCGAUUUAAACUAGACCGGUUCACUUUAGAUCGGUUUAAAGGCUAAUGUGAACGCAUUGAAUCGAUCUUCAAUCGGUCUAAACUAAAACACCAAAAGAGGUAGUUUAGUUUGAAUCGAUCUAAAGUAAACCGAUCUUACUUUAGAUGUGAACGCAGAGAUCGGUUUAAACUAGUACGAUUGAAUCGAAAAUAACGUAUGCGCAUGUAUAGCGGCAAAACUAUCUCAGAGGUUCGUUGCUUAACCCAUAUUUCUCUGUUGAAAGACCUUUAAAACAAACUGUAAACAUGUUGUCUUCGCCAUAGCAUAGAUUUGCGAAAUCUGUGUCUUCUUUUCUUAUGUUGAUUUUUUUCUUUGCAGGAACCGCAGUAUUUCCGGCGUCGUG